UACGGAGGGAGCUAGCGUUGUUCGGAAUUACUGGACGUAAAGCGCACGUAGGCGGCUUUGUAAGUUAGAGGUGAAAGCCCGGAGCUCAACUCCGGAACUGCCUUUAAGACUGCAUCGCUUGAAUCCAGGAGAGGUGAGUGGAAUUCCGAGUGUAGAGGUGAAAUUCGUAGAUAUUCGGAAGAACACCAGUGGCGAAGGCGGCUCACUGGACUGGUAUUGACGCUGAGGUGCGAAAGCGUGGGGAGCAAACAGG
rnacentral:rRNA from 1 species